rnacentral:rRNA from 1 species
GUACACUCCUACGGGAGGCAGCAGUGGGGAAUUUUGGACAAUGGGCGAAAGCCUGAUCCAGCAAUGCCGCGUGAGUGAAGAAGGCCUUCGGGUUGUAAAGCUCUUUUGUCAGGGAAGAAACGGUGAAAGCUAAUAUCUUUUGCUAAUGACGGUACCUGAAGAAUAAGCACCGGCUAACUACGUGCCAGCAGCCGCGGUAAUACGUAGGGUGCAAGCGUUAAUCGGAAUUACUGGGCGUAAAGCGUGCGCAGGCGGUUUUGUAAGUCUGAUGUGAAAUCCCCGGGCUCAACCUGGGAAUUGCAUUGGAGACUGCAAGGCUAGAAUCUGGCAGAGGGGGGUAGAAUUCCACGUGUAGCAGUGAAAUGCGUAGAUAUGUGGAGGAACACCGAUGGCGAAGGCAGCCCCCUGGGUCAAGAUUGACGCUCAUGCACGAAAGCGUGGGGAGCAAACAGGAUUAGAUACCCCGGUAGUCCCAU